rnacentral:rRNA from 1 species
GACGAACGCUGGCGGCGUGCUUAACACAUGCAAGUCGAACGGUGAAGCGCUUGCCUUUUUGGUGGGUGUGGAUGAGUGGCGAACGGGUGAGUAACACGUGAGUAACCUGCCCUCUUCUUCUGGAUAACCUCAUGAAAGUGGGGCUAAUACGGGGUAUUCCGGGUCUGUCGCAUGGCGGGUUUGGGAAAGAUUGCGCCUUUGGGUGUUUUCGGUGGGGGGUGGGCUCGCGGCCUAUCAGCUUGUUGGUGGGGUGAUGGCCUACCAAGGCGGUGACGGGUAGCCGGCCUGAGAGGGUGGACGGCCACACUGGGACUGAGACACGGCCCAGACGCCUGCGGGAGGCAGCAGUGGGGAGUAUUGCACAAUGGGCGCAAGCCUGAUGCAGCGACGCCGCGUGAGGGAUGGAGGCCUUCGGGUUGUGAACCUCUUUCGCCAGUGAAGCAGGCCUGCUCCUGUGUGGGUGGGUUGACGGUAGCUGGAUAAGAAGCGCCGGCUAACUACGUG